AGUUGAGGUAGAGGCGCGGUGUAUCAAGAGUAAGCUUGCAGAGGCGAGGGAAGCUGAUUAAGCAAGCCGAAAGGGAACACUGCCGAAGUGUGGUUUUUCCCAAAGACCAUGCUGGGCCUAUGCUGAAUAAGUAUAGGACUGUCACCGGAGCAAUUCGGUGGAGAGCUACUUCAGGA
rnacentral:ncRNA from 1 species